rnacentral:rRNA from 1 species
UACGGAGGGUCCGAGCGUUAUCCGGAAUCAUUGGGUUUAAAGGGUCCGUAGGCGGGCAGCUAAGUCAGUGGUGAAAGUCUGCAGCUCAACUGUAGAAUUGCCAUUGGUACUGGUUGUCUUGGAUCAAUGUGAAGUGGUUAGAAUAAGUAGUGUAGCGGUGAAAUGCAUAGAUAUUACUUAGAAUACCAAUUGCGAAGGCAGAUCACUAACAUUGUAUUGACGCUGAUGGACGAAAGCGUGGGGAGCGAACAGG